rnacentral:rRNA from 1 species
UACGAAGGGUGCAAGCGUUACUCGGAAUUACUGGGCGUAAAGCGUGCGUAGGUGGUUUGUUAAGUCUGUUGUGAAAGCCCCGGGCUCAACCUGGGAAUGGCAAUGGAUACUGGCAGGCUUGAGUGCAGGAGAGGAACGCGGAAUUCCAGGUGUAGCGGUGAAAUGCGUAGAUAUCUGGAGGAACACCGGUGGCGAAGGCGGCGUUCUGGACUGCAACUGACACUGAGGAACGAAAGCCAGGGGAGCAAACGGG